rnacentral:rRNA from 1 species
UAGGGAAUCUUCCGCAAUGGACGCAAGUCUGACGGAGCAACGCCGCGUGAGUGAUGAAGGUUUUCGGAUCGUAAAGCUCUGUUGCCCUAGACGAACAGCAAGAGGAGUAACUGCCUUUUGUGUGACGGUAUAGGAGAAGAAAGCCCCGGCUAACUACGUGCCAGCAGCCGCGGUAAUACGUAGGGGGCAAGCGUUGUCCGGAAUUAUUGGGCGUAAAGCGCGCGCAGGCGGGCAAUUAAGUUGGGUGUU